rnacentral:rRNA from 1 species
CCUACGGGAGGCAGCAGUGGGGGAUAUUGGACAAUGGGGGAAACCCUGAUCCAGCGACGCCGCGUGAGUGAAGAAGUAUUUCGGUAUGUAAAGCUCUAUCAGCAGGGAAGAAAGAAAUGACGGUACCUGAGUAAGAAGCCCCGGCUAACUACGUGCCAGCAGCCGCGGUAAUACGUAGGGGGCAAGCGUUAUCCGGAAUUACUGGGUGUAAAGGGCGCGUUGACGGUAAUGCAAGUCUGGCGUGAACGGCGGGGGGCGAACCCCCGGACUGCACUGGAAACUGGGUAAAUGGAGUGCAGGAGAGGCAGGUGGAAUGCCAAGUGUAGCGGUGAAAUGCGUAGAUAUUAGGAGGAACACCAGUGGCGAAGGCGGCCUGCUGGACUGUAACUGACGUUGAGGCUCGAAAGCGUGGGGAGCAAACAGGAUUAGAUACCCCAGUAGUC